rnacentral:rRNA from 1 species
GACGAACGCUGGCGGCGUGCCUAAUACAUGCAAGUAGAACGCUGAAGAGAGGAGCUUGCUCUUCUUGGAUGAGUUGCGAACGGGUGAGUAACGCGUAGGUAACCUGCCUUGUAGCGGGGGAUAACUAUUGGAAACGAUAGCUAAUACCGCAUAACAAUGGAUGACACAUGUCAUUUAUUUGAAAGGGGCAAUUGCUCCACUACAAGAUGGACCUGCGUUGUAUUAGCUAGUAGGUGAGGUAAUGGCUCACCUAGGCGACGAUACAUAGCCGACCUGAGAGGGUGAUCGGCCACACUGGGACUGAGACACGGCCCAGACUCCUACGGGAGGCAGCAGUAGGGAAUCUUCGGCAAUGGGGGCAACCCUGACCGAGCAACGCCGCGUGAGUGAAGAAGGUUUUCGGAUCGUAAAGCUCUGUUGUAAGUCAAGAACGGGUGUGAGAGUGGAAAGUUCACACUGUGACGGUAGCUUACCAGAAAGGGACGGCUAACUACGUGCCAGCAGCCGCGGUAAUACGUAGGUCCCGAGCGUUGUCCGGAUUUAUUGGGCGUAAAGCGAGCGCAGGCGGUUUGAUAAGUCUGAAGUUAAAGGCUGUGGCUCAACCAUAGUUCGCUUUGGAAACUGUCAAACUUGAGUGCAGAAGGGGAGAGUGGAAUUCCAUGUGUAGCGGUGAAAUGCGUAGAUAUAUGGAGGAACACCGGUGGCGAAAGCGGCUCUCUGGUCUGUAACUGACGCUGAGGCUCGAAAGCGUGGGGAGCGAACAGGAUUAGAUACCCUGGUAGUCCACGCCGUAAACGAUGAGUGCUAGGUGUUGGAUCCUUUCCGGGAUUCAGUGCCGCAGCUAACGCAUUAAGCACUCCGCCUGGGGAGUACGACCGCAAGGUUGAAACUCAAAGGAAUUGACGGGGGCCCGCACAAGCGGUGGAGCAUGUGGUUUAAUUCGAAGCAACGCGAAGAACCUUACCAGGUCUUGACAUCCCGAUGCUAUUUCUAGAGAUAGAAAGUUACUUCGGUACAUCGGUGACAGGUGGUGCAUGGUUGUCGUCAGCUCGUGUCGUGAGAUGUUGGGUUAAGUCCCGCAACGAGCGCAACCCCUAUUGUUAGUUGCCAUCAUUCAGUUGGGCACUCUAGCGAGACUGCCGGUAAUAAACCGGAGGAAGGUGGGGAUGACGUCAAAUCAUCAUGCCCCUUAUGACCUGGGCUACACACGUGCUACAAUGGUUGGUACAACGAGUUGCGAGUCGGUGACGGCGAGCUAAUCUCUUAAAGCCAAUCUCAGUUCGGAUUGUAGGCUGCAACUCGCCUACAUGAAGUCGGAAUCGCUAGUAAUCGCGGAUCAGCACGCCGCGGUGAAUAAGUUCCCGGGCCU